rnacentral:rRNA from 1 species
AUUGAACGCUGGCGGCAGGCCUAACACAUGCAAGUCGAGCGGAUGAAGGGAGCUUGCUCCUGGAUUCAGCGGCGGACGGGUGAGUAAUGCCUAGGAAUCUGCCUGGUAGUGGGGGAUAACGUCCGGAAACGGGCGCUAAUACCGCAUACGUCCUGAGGGAGAAAGUGGGGGAUCUUCGGACCUCACGCUAUCAGAUGAGCCUAGGUCGGAUUAGCUAGUUGGUGGGGUAAGGCCUAUCAAGGCGACGAUCCGUAACUGGUCUGAGAGGAUGAUCAGUCACACUGGAACUGAGACACGGUCCAGACUCCUACGGGAGGCAGCAGUGGGGAAUAUUGGACAAUGGGCGAAAGCCUGAUCCAGCCAUGCCGCGUGUGUGAAGAAGGUCUUCGGAUUGUAAAGCACUUUAAGUUGGGAGGAAGGGCAGUAAGUUAAUACCUUGCUGUUUUGACGUUACCAACAGAAUAAGCACCGGCUAACUUCGUG